rnacentral:rRNA from 1 species
GAUGAACGCUAGCUACAGGCUUAACACAUGCAAGUCGAGGGGCAGCAUGGUCUUAGCUUGCUAAGGCCGAUGGCGACCGGCGCACGGGUGAGUAACACGUAUCCAACCUGCCGUCUACUCUUGGACAGCCUUCUGAAAGGAAGAUUAAUACAAGAUGGCAUCAUGAGUCCGCAUGUUCACAUGAUUAAAGGUAUUCCGGUAGACGAUGGGGAUGCGUUCCAUUAGAUAGUAGGCGGGGUAACGGCCCACCUAGUCUUCGAUGGAUAGGGGUUCUGAGAGGAAGGUCCCCCACAUUGGAACUGAGACACGGUCCAAACUCCUACGGGAGGCAGCAGUGAGGAAUAUUGGUCAAUGGGCGAGAGCCUGAACCAGCCAAGUAGCGUGAAGGAUGACUGCCCUAUGGGUUGUAAACUUCUUUUAUAAAGGAAUAAAGUCGGGUAUGCAUACCCGUUUGCAUGUACUUUAUGAAUAAGGAUCGGCUAACUCCGUG